rnacentral:rRNA from 1 species
GACGAACGCUGGCGGCGUGCUUAACACAUGCAAGUCGAACGGAAAGGCCCUGCUUUUGUGGGGUGCUCGAGUGGCGAACGGGUGAGUAACACGUGAGUAACCUGCCCUUGACUUUGGGAUAACUUCAGGAAACUGGGGCUAAUACCGGAUAGGAGCUCCCGCUGCAUGGUGGGGGUUGGAAAGUUUCGGCGGUUGGGGAUGGACUCGCGGCUUAUCAGCUUGUUGGUGGGGUAGUGGCUUACCAAGGCUUUGACGGGUAGCCGGCCUGAGAGGGUGACCGGCCACAUUGGGACUGAGAUACGGCCCAGACUCCUACGGGAGGCAGCAGUGGGGAAUAUUGCACAAUGGGCGGAAGCCUGAUGCAGCAACGCCGCGUGCGGGAUGACGGCCUUCGGGUUGUAAACCGCUUUCGCCUGUGACGAGGCGUGAGUGACGGUAAUGGGUAAAGAAGCACCGGCUAACUACGUG